rnacentral:rRNA from 1 species
CCCUUAGAUGCUCUGGGCCGCACGCGCGCUACACUGGUCGAUGCAACGAGUUUCUUUCCUUGGCCGACAGGCCUGGGCAAUCUUUGAACAUCGAUCGUGAUCGGGAUAGACUCUUGUAAUUUUUGAUCUUAAACGAGGAAUUCCUAGUAAACGCAAGUCAUCAGCUUGCAUUGAUUACGUCCCUGCCCUUUGUACACACCGCCCGUCGCACCUACCGAUUGAAUGGUCCGGUGAAGCCUCCGGAUUGGCGCGCACCCCGGUGCCGCCGAGAAGUUGGCUAAACCUUACCAUUUAGAGGAAGGUGAAGUCGUANCA